rnacentral:rRNA from 1 species
GAUGAACGCUAGCGGCAGGCUUAACACAUGCAAGUCGAGGGGUAUAGUAGCAAUACUAGAGACCGGCGCACGGGUGCGUAACGCGUAUGCAAUCUACCUUAUACAGAGGGAUAGCCCAGAGAAAUUUGGAUUAAUACCUCAUAGCAUAGCAACUUCGCAUGAAGUCACUAUUAAAGUUCCAACGGUAUAAGAUGAGCAUGCGUCCUAUUAGCUAGAUGGUAAGGUAACGGCUUACCAUGGCUACGAUAGGUAGGGGUCCUGAGAGGGAGAUCCCCCACACUGGUACUGAGACACGGACCAGACUCCUACGGGAGGCAGCAGUGAGGAAUAUUGGACAAUGGGCGCAAGCCUGAUCCAGCCAUGCCGCGUGCAGGAAGACGCAUCUAUGGUGUGUAAACUGCUUUUGUACGGGAAGAAACACUCCCUCGUGAGGGAGCUUGACGGUACCGUAAGAAUAAGGAUCGGCUAACUCCGUGCCAGCAGCCGCGGUAAUACGGAGGAUCCAAGCGUUAUCCGGAAUCAUUGGGUUUAAAGGGUCCGUAGGCGGUUUGGUAAGUCAGUGGUGAAAGCCCAUCGCUUAACGAUGGAACGGCCAUUGAUACUGCCAGACUUGAAUUACUGGGAAGUAACUAGAAUAUGUAGUGUAGCGGUGAUAAUGCUUAGAUAUUACAUGGAAUACCAAUUGCGAAGGCAGGUUACUACCGGUGGAUGACGC